rnacentral:sRNA from 1 species
GGCCGCCUCAACCUGCACUAUGCUGUUGUCUCUAAGAGGAAGAUCCUCCAGCUUGUAGCAACUGGUGCUGUGCGGUAGGUGCGGCUGUUUGGCUUAUGAAAGGUUAAUGGCAUAUGCUCCCAAAGGCCUUCUCACCACCUUCUUAUCCACAGGGACUGGGAUGACCCACGGCUCUUUACACUCACGGCCCUGCGACGGCGGGGCUUCCCACCUGAGGCCAUCAACAACUUCUGUGCCCGGGUGGGAGUGACUGUGGCACAGACCACAAUGGAGCCACAUCUUCUAGAAGCCUGUGUGCGUGAUGUACUGAAUGACACAGCCCCACGAGCCAUGGCUGUGCUGGAGUCACUACGGGUCAUCAUCACCAACUUUCCUGCUGCCAAGUCCUUGGACAUCCAGGUGCCCAACUUCCCAGCUGAUGAGACCAAAGGCUUCCAUCAGGUUCCCUUUGCACCCAUUGUCUUCAUUGAGAGGACUGACUUCAAGGAGGUAAAUUGUGGGGGUGGAGGGUCCCGUUUGCUGCUGAGUCUGGUACUGGGAACCUUUCAUCUCCUCAUCUCUGUCAGUCCAUCUACUUCCUGCUUCAGAUGAACCAAUCUUUGCCAGACACGGGGGUAGGGAAGCUUCCCCACUUGUUUGACCCUUGCAGCCUCAUGUGUCUACCCUACUUCCUAUCUCUAGGAGCCAGAGCCAGGAUUUAAGCGCCUGGCUUGGGGCCAGCCUGUGGGCCUGAGGCAUACAGGCUACGUCAUUGAGCUGCAGCAUGUUGUCAAGGGCCCCAGUGGUUGUGUAGAGAGUCUGGAGGUGACCUGCAGACGGGCAGAUGCUGGAGAGAAGCCAAAGGCCUUUAUUCACUGGGUGUCACAGCCUUUGAUGUGUGAGGUUCGCCUCUAUGAGCGACUGUGAGUGAACAGAGCUGGGGUGGGGGCAGGUACAAGAUGCACAUUGCCUGCUGUGGCUGCCCAGCUGGGGGUAUGACCUUCACUUUGGCUGCAGAUUCCAGCACAAGAACCCUGAAGAUCCUACUGAGGUGCCUGGUGGAUUUUUAAGUGACCUGAACCUGGUAGGUUCGUGAGGUUUGGGGUGAGGGAGGUAGGCCUCCCUGGUUGGAUGGUUGCCUGAGUUCCCUGCCUGCAGGCAUCACUACACGUGGUGGAUGCAGCAUUAGUGGACUGCUCUGUGGCCCUGGCAAAACCCUUCGACAAGUUCCAGUUUGAGCGUCUUGGAUAUUUCUCCGUGGAUCCAGACAGCCAUCAGGGAAAGCUUGUCUUUAACCGAACUGUCACACUGAAGGAAGACCCGGGAAAGGUGUGAGCUGGAAGCACUGAACCUACCUCAUCCUCCUGGAGGGUGUGGCUACCCUCGCCACCCCAAAUUCCAUGUCAAUAAAGAACA